AAACAUGUCUUUUAGAAUUUUAUUUAAAGUCUAACYUGCCCACUGAAUUAUUUUAAAUGGCCGCAGUAAUUUGACUGUGCAAAGGUAGCAUAAUCAUUAGUCUUUUAAUUGAAGGCUUGAAUGAACGGUUGGACGAAGUAUAAGCUGUUUCAUAUAAAUUUAUAUUAGAAUUUUAUAUUUUAGUAAAAAAGCUAAAAUUUUAUUAAAAGACGAGAAGACCCUAUAAAUCUUUAUAUUUUUUAUUAUUUAAGUAUUUUAAAUUUAUUUAAUUUUUAUAAUAAAAAAUAUUUUGUUGGGGUGAUAUUAAAAUUUAAUUAACUUUUAAUUUUUGAAAUCAUUAAUUUAUGAAUUAUUGAUCCAUUAGUAUUGAUUAUAAGAUUAAGUUACUUUAGGGA
rnacentral:rRNA from 1 species